rnacentral:rRNA from 1 species
GACGAACGCUGGCGGCGUGCUUAACACAUGCCAGUCGAACGGAAAGGCCUCUUUCGGGGGGUACUCGAGUGGCGAACGGGUGAGUAACACGUGAGUAACCUGCCCUUGACUUUGGGAUAACUUCAGGAAACUGGGGCUAAUACCGGAUAGGAGCUCCUGCUGCAUGGUGGGGGUUGGAAAGUUUCGGCGGUUGGGGAUGGACUCGCGGCUUAUCAGCUUGUUGGUGGGGUAGUGGCUUACCAAGGCUUUGACGGGUAGCCGGCCUGAGAGGGUGACCGGCCACAUUGGGACUGAGAUACGGCCCAGACUCCUACGGGAGGCAGCAGUGGGGAAUAUUGCACAAUGGGUGGAGGCCUGAUGCAGCAACGCCGUGUGCGGGAUGACGGCCUUCGGGUUGUAAACCGCUUUCGCUCAUGACGAAGCUUUGUGUGACGGUAGUGGGUAAAGAAGCACCGGCUAACUACGUG